CGGCGCCGUACGUGGCCAAUGACCCGCUGGGUGAUACUCAACUGGAAGGAAUAUUGCUACAAUUUAUCAUAUUAUUUCACUUGAUAGCCCCAUGCGAAAGUGCAGUUACCUAUUACAUUGUAAUCAUUGCUAAACGGGAGCCUGUUAGUAGGCCUGCUGAUGUCCCGCUAACAUCCCAGCAUUUGUGCAAACCAGAAUAAUGAGAAAUGUUGGUCAGGACCCUGGGAAUGCUGUAUGCUAUCAUUUGAAUUGUUCCAUGAAACCUUCAUCAUCCAUCUAUACUGUUUGCAUGGAGCUUUGAGGCUGAAGGGGUAGACUUUCCAACAUUGCAGCAUUCUGAUUAUUGCACUAGAGUGUAAGACCUGAUUUUAGUGCCUGGAUCCUGGAUGGGCGCUUGAUCCCACGAGCUUCUGAUUGAGUAUGAGCAGCAACUGGGGCAGAAUUUUCCAUUCAGCGUGGGGGCGUUAAACGACACUCGAUGAUCACAAAG